rnacentral:rRNA from 1 species
UACAGAGGGUGCGAGCGUUGUCCGGAAUCAUUGGGCGUAAAGAGCGUGUAGGCGGCCCGAUAAGUCCGCUGUGAAAGUCCAGGGCUCAACCCUGGGAUGCCGGUGGAUACUGUCGGGCUCGAGUCCGGAAGAGGAGUGUGGAAUUCCUGGUGUAGCGGUGAAAUGCGCAGAUAUCAGGAGGAACACCAAUGGCGAAGGCAGCACUCUGGGACGUGACUGACGCUGAGACGCGAAAGCGUGGGGAGCAAACAGG